rnacentral:lncRNA from 1 species
UUUUAUCCCCAAUAACCCUACCACCCAAUUGUUCUCUCUCGUCUCUGCCUCUUCCCCCUUCCCCUCUCCGUCCUUUCUAUCCACGUUUCUCCAGCCUCCUUUCCCUUCCAUCCACGUUUCUCCGUCCUCCCUUCCCUUCCAUCCAUAGCAGCAUAGGACAGAUAAGAAGCUGGUCUUGGACUCAUAUGACUAGUAUUUGAAAACCCAGAAAUUGACCAUGGAGAAGAAGGAGAAGAUGGGUUCAUGUGAAACCCAUUAUCAGGUACAAUGAUUCUAAACGAAGAUAGGGGAAAUGGGUUGGGUCUAUAUGAAGGUGUAGAAGGUGCAGAUGAACUGUUUGAUGAAAGUCCUACGAAAGAUUUAGCUUGUUUUAUGAGAGAAAACAAUUGAUUCUCAGGCCCAAAUGUUAAUCUAAUCAUUUCUUUUCUCCAGGAUCUUGUAUCAAAAUGCAACCCAUGAUUUUGCAAGCAUUUUCUGGAUCUAAUCUUUGGAUUCUUGACAUCACUGUACUUGUUGCCUCAUUGUUAUCCAUGGUGGGAAGUGUUUGAACCACACUGCCUCGUCUACUCCUCCACCGCAAAACAGACCAAGUUCCUUCUAAUCACGCCGCUUCACCUUGAUGAUGAAUGUGGAUGCGGCCAGGAAUAAGACCAUGAGUUGUUACGGUUAUGUUUGUGUUCAUUUGUUUUAAGACUAUGUGUUUGCAAUUACUGUUAUUUGUUUUACCUAUUCUACAACUUCGUGAGAUUGUAAUUGUUUUACAAUUACUUUAUUUGCAGACUGUUUGUUCCAAAUUUAUUUUGGAGAUGCAAGAACGGUAAUAAGGAUUGUUAUUUAUAACAAUCCAUUUCUAUUAUUAUUAAACAACCAUUGGUUUGUUCUUUGUUAAUGGCUUGCAAAAAAGAAUAUAUGAUUGUUGGUACAAUGAAUUUCUGGAUUUGUCUGAUUAUGUAUUUAUGUUUGAGUUUUGGUGGCC